AAGAUUAAGCCAUGCAUGUCUAAGUAUAAGCAAUUAUACCGUGAAACUGCGAAUGGCUCAUUAAAUCAGUUAUCGUUUAUUUGAUAGUACCUUACUACAUGGAUAACCGUGGUAAUUCUAGAGCUAAUACAUGCUAAAAACCUCGACUUCGGGAGGGGUGUAUUUAUUAGAUAAAAACCAAUGCCCUUCGGGGCUCCCUGGUGAUUCAUAAUAACUUCUCAGAUCGCAU
rnacentral:rRNA from 1 species